GCCUUGGACAGGGAGAGUACGAACAAGGCCCUCCACAUGUAUAUAUGGCAAGGCACAGCGGACGCGGCACCAAAACUGGGCAAUGAAUCACCCAUCGUACAAACGCUGAAGACGUGGUCUUCCCUGAGGCGAAACCAAUAUAUCUCCCCACAACCAAGCACCUUGAUCCCGAUAACACACAAUAGCAUGAUAGGCGGGGGACUACACCGAUCUGCCUGGCCGAUAG